UACGUAGGUGGCAAGCGUGUCCGGAUUCAUUGGGCGUAAAGCGCGCGUAGGCGGCUCGGAAAGUCGGUCGUGAAAUGCCGGGGCUCAACCCCGGGACUCGGCGUCCGAUACUUCCGGGCUGGAGGUAGGUAGGGGAGAUCGGAAUUCCUGGUGGUAGCGGGUGAAAUGCGCAGAUAUCAAGGAGGAACACCGGGUGGGCGAAGGCGGGAUCUCUGGGCCGUAAACUGACCGCUGAGGAGCGAAAGCAUGGGGAGCGAACAGGGA
rnacentral:rRNA from 1 species